rnacentral:rRNA from 1 species
GAAUGCCGCGGUGAAUACGUUCCCGGGUCUUGUACACACCGCCCGUCACACCAUGGGAGUCGGGAAUGCCCGAAGCCGGUGGCCCGAUCGAAAGAAGGGAGCCGUCGAAGGCAGGCCGGAUGACUGGGGUGAAGUCGUAACAAGGUACC